ACUUGAAUCCUCGAUUCAGAUGGAGUCCCAAUGUUUCCGAGCAUCCAGAGAUUAAAACUGGUUUGUAUAAGUGCAUGGAUAGACUCAUCAAGGACCAAGAAACAUAUGUGAAGGUCGAUGCCCAACUUGAUGAGUAUAAAUACAAGCGAGGAUUGUUUGGCUUCAGAUCAUCCUUAACAUCAUACUUAACACGUCCACCUGUUGAAUGGUGGGACAACUUUGGAGAUGAAGUUCCAGAACUCAAGUCAUUUGCAACAAGAGUUCUAGGUCUUACUUGUUCAGCAUCGGCAUGUGAACGUAAUUGGAGUACGUUCAAUCAAGUGCACACAAAGAGAAGAAAUCG